rnacentral:rRNA from 1 species
GCGCUGCAUUAGCUAGUUGGUAAGGUAACGGCUUACCAAGGCAACGAUGCAUAGCCGACCUGAGAGGGUGAUCGGCCACACUGGAACUGAGACACGGUCCAGACUCCUACGGGAGGCAGCAGUAGGGAAUCUUCCGCAAUGGGCGAAAGCCUGACGGAGCAACGCCGCGUGAGUGAUGAAGGUCUUCGGAUCGUAAAACUCUGUUAUUAGGGAAGAACAUAUGUGUAAGUAACUGUGCACAUCUUGACGGUACCUAAUCAGAAAGCCACGGCUAACUACGUGCCAGCAGCCGCGGUAAUACGUAGGUGGCAAGCGUUAUCCGGAAUUAUUGGGCGUAAAGCGCGCGUAGGCGGUUUUUUAAGUCUGAUGUGAAAGCCCACGGCUCAACCGUGGAGGGUCAUUGGAAACUGGAAAACUUGAGUGCAGAAGAGGAAAGUGGAAUUCCAUGUGUAGCGGUGAAAUGCGCAGAGAUAUGGAGGAACACCAGUGGCGAAGGCGACUUUCUGGUCUGUAACUGACGCUGAUGUGCGAAAGCGUGGGGAUCAAACAGGAUUAGAUACCCUGGUAGUCCACGCCGUAAACGAUGAGUGCUAAGUGUUAGGGGGUUUCCGCCCCUUAGUGCUGCAGCUAACGCAUUAAGCACUCCGCCUGGGGAGUACGACCGCAAGGUUGAAACUCAAAGGAAUU